GUGGUACCCGCACUUCACUCUCGUAUAAUUAUAUCAACUCAAAAAGGAAUAAUCAAAUUCGCGUUAGUAAUAAAAUAAAGCGGCCCAUUUAACUUUUGAAAGUCAUCUUUAGGAUAAAUUGUUUCUUAUAUUUAUUUUGAUAAUUACAAUCAUUUAUAAAAAUCAAUUAAAUUUUAGUCUAUACAUUUUUACGAAUACUCAUUUUUUAACGGAUGAAAGAGUUCUAACCAAUGUUGAAGAUGGAAGGUAAAUGACAACUUUUCACAAAAAAUUAACUUUUGAAAAUGUUCCGGAAGCUUUUGAAAUGUGUCAAAAAAAUCAAUUGAAAAACUCCUUUAACACGACACUGAAUAAUUCUUGGAGUGGCUGUUGA